GAUGAACGCUGGCGGCGUGCCUAAUACAUGCAAGUCGAGCGAACAGAUGAGGAGCUUGCUCCUCUGACGUUAGCGGCGGACGGGUGAGUAACACGUGGAUAACCUACCUAUAAGACUGGGAUAACUUCGGGAAACCGGAGCUAAUACCGGAUAAUAUAUUGAACCGCAUGGUUCAAUAGUGAAAGACGGUUUUGCUGUCACUUAUAGAUGGAUCCGCGCCGCAUUAGCUAGUUGGUAAGGUAACGGCUUACCAAGGCAACGAUGCGUAGCCGACCUGAGAGGGUGAUCGGCCACACUGGAACUGAGACACGGUCCAGACUCCUACGGGAGGCAGCAGUAGGGACUCUUCCGCAAUGGGCGAAAGCUUGACGGAGCAACGCCGCGUGAGUGAUGAAGGUCUUCGGAUCGUAAAACUCUGUUAUUAGGGAAGAACAAAUGUGUAAGUAACUAUGCACGUCUUGACGGUACCUAAUCAGAAAGCCACGGCUAACUACGUG
rnacentral:rRNA from 1 species